UACGAAGGGGGCUAGCGUUGCUCGGAAUCACUGGGCGUAAAGCGCACGUAGGCGGCUUACUAAGUCAGGGUGAAAUCCUGGAGCUCAACUCCAGAACUGCCUUUGAUACUGGUGAGCUUGAGUCCGGAAGAGGUGAGUGGAACUGCGAGUGUAGAGGUGAAAUUCGUAGAUAUUCGCAAGAACACCAGUGGCGAAGGCGGCUCACUGGUCCGGUACUGACGCUGAGGUGCGAAAGCGUGGGAGCAAACA
rnacentral:rRNA from 1 species